AUUGAACGCUGGCGGCAGGCCUAACACAUGCAAGUCGAGCGGUAACACAGGGAGCUGCUCCCGGGUGACGAGCGGCGGACGGGUGAGUAAUGUCUGGGAAACUGCCUGAUGGAGGGGGAUAACUACUGGAAACGGUGGCUAAUACCGCAUAACGUCGCAAGACCAAAGAGGGGGACCUUCGGGCCUCUUGCCAUCAGAUGUGCCCAGAUGGGAUUAGCUAGUAGGUGGGGCAAUGGCUCACCUAGGCGACGAUCCCUAGCUGGUCUGAGAGGAUGACCAGCCACACUGGAACUGAGACACGGUCCAGACUCCUACGGGAGGCAGCAGUGGGGAAUAUUGCACAAUGGGCGCAAGCCUGAUGCAGCCAUGCCGCGUGUAUGAAGAAGGCCUUCGGGUUGUAAAGUACUUUCAGCGGGGAGGAAGGUGUUGUGGUUAAUAACCACAGCAAUUGACGUUACCCGCAGAAGAAGCACCGGCUAACUCCGUGCCAGCAGCCGCCGCCG
rnacentral:rRNA from 1 species